AUGCUUGUAAGACAGGGUGGUGCAGUAUUCUAGUCAGUACUACCGGUUCUGAAGACGGGCCUAAAAAUCCGUUAAAGGGCACAUCGAUGAAGUUCCUUGUGCUGGCUUGCUACGCCCAGUGGUGGGCUGGUGCUGGGAGUUAAGGUUUAGGGGCAACCCGCAAUGGCAUGCGGGCAUUGACCCCUUUACCGUGGAGACCCGACCUUGUGGGAGUAAAGUACACUGCAAGCAUAAUAAUUUUGUCAGUGUGUAAACACUUCUACGAGCCGGGAGAGAACCUGUUUUGCGAUACCAUUUAUUGGUGUUGUGGACAGAGUAGCCUGCCUUGAGUGAGGUUGGCGGAUAAUGGUCAGGUGUAUAGGUAUUGGCCGAUACAUAUACACUAUAGCAGUUUGAAACCAAUCUUGCAAAAGAGGCUAGGAACCGGAUAGACUGUCGGGGAAAGCCCCUAGACUGUUCGUUAAGCGAGUUAUGCUGGGGAUUGAAGUGUGGACUAAGUGGUAAUCAGGCCCCGCUCCCUUUAAAGGGGCGGCUGAAGGUUUAAAGGGAAACCGCUGAAAUGGCGACAUUCAGUACCUUCUGUGGAAAUCAUGCCUGACCUAAGCCGCAAAAUUUACUCAGCAUAAUGCCACCCUGUAUUAUAGCGUU
rnacentral:sRNA from 21 species